rnacentral:rRNA from 1 species
UCGGGGUUAGUGGCGCACGGGUGCGUAACGCGUGGGAAUCUGCCCUUUGCUGCGGGAUAACAGUGAGAAAUCGCUGCUAAUACCGCAUAAUGACUACGGUCCAAAGAUUUAUCGGCAAAGGAUGAGCCCGCGUAAGAUUAGCUUGUUGGUGGGGUAAAAGCCUACCAAGGCGACGAUCUUUAGCUGGUCUGAGAGGAUGAUCAGCCACACUGGGACUGAGACACGGCCCAGACUCC